AGCGGCGAACGGGUGAGUAACACGUGGGUGACCUGCCCUUAGCUCUGGGAUAAGCCUGGGAAACUGGGUCUAAUACCGGAUAUGACUCCAUGACGCAUGUUGUGGGGUGGAAAGCCUUGUGCGGCUAGGGAUGGGCCCGCGGCCUAUCAGCUUGUUGGUGGGGUGAUGGCCUACCAAGGCGACGACGGGUAGCCGGCCUGAGAGGGCGACCGGCCACACUGAGACUGAGACACGGCCCAGACUCCUACGGGAGGCAGCAGUGGGGAAUCUUGCGCAAUGGGCGAAAGCCUGACGCAGCGACGCCGCGUGGGGGAUGACGGCCUUCGGGUUGUAAACCUCUUUCAGCCCUGACGAAGCGAGAGUGACGGUAGGGGCAGAAGAAGCACCGGCCAACUACGUGCCAGCAGCCGCGGUAAUACGUAGGGUGCAAGCGUUGUCCGGAAUUAUUGGGCGUAAAGAGCUCGUAGGCGGCCUGUCGCGUCGGCUGUGAAAACUUGGGGCUCAACCCUGAGCUUGCAGUCGAUACGGGCAGGCUAGAGUUCGGCAGGGGGAGACUGGAAUUCCUGGUGUAGCGGUGAAAUGCGCAGAUAUCAGGAGGGAACACCCGGUGGCGAAGGGCGGGUCUCUGGGGCCGAUACUGACGCUGAGGAGCGAAAGCGUGGGGAGCGAAACAGGGAUUAAGAUACCCCUGGUAGUCCCACGCCCGUAAACGUUGGGGCGCUAGGUGUGGGAUCCCUUCCACGGGUUCCCGUGCCCGCAGCUAACGCAUUUAAGCGCCCCCGCCUGGGGGAGUACGGCCGCAAGGCUAAAAACUCAAAGGAAUUGACGGGGGCCCGCACAAGCGGCGGAGCAUGUGGAUUAAUUCGAUGCAACGCGAAGAACCUUACCUGGGUUUGACAUACACUGGAAAGCCGUGGAGACACGGCCUCCGCAAGGCCGGUGUACAGGUGGUGCAUGGCUGUCGUCAGCUCGUGUCGUGAGAUGUUGGGUUAAGUCCCGCAACGAGCGCAACCCUUGUCCUAUGUUGCCAGCGGCCAGUGACUUUGUUACUGGGCCGGGGACU
rnacentral:rRNA from 1 species